GGAUGUAUGACUGAGAGGUUUAAGGUGUGAUAUUUGAGCUAUCAAGGUGUAUACCCACGUGUUCGAAUCACGUUGCAUCCG
rnacentral:tRNA from 2 species